GAGCGAUCAAGUGCCUUAAGGGUAUUCGGUGGAUGCCUUGGCGCUGAGAGGCGAUGAAGGACGUGGUACGCUGCGAUAAGCCGUGGGGAGGUGCGAACAACCUUUGAUCCGCGGAUUUCCGAAUGGGGAAACCCACCUUCGAUCUCUGUUAUUCCGAAGAGUUUGAUCUGCGCGCACAGCGCAGGAUCAACGUCAUCGUGUUCCUUGAAGGGGAACGGCGGGCUUUGGCCCCGGCGUCGCGCAAGCGGCGCUAGGAGCGAACGCGACGCCGAGCCAAUGCGAGGGGCGCGCCGCUUGCGGCGCAAAAACGCGAUGUCUUUGGACUAACAGAGAUCAUGAGAAGGUAUUUAUGACUGAAUCCAUAGGUCAUAAAAGCGAACCCGGUGAACUGAAACAUCUAAGUAACCGGAGGAAAGGACAUCAACGAGACUCCGUUAGUAGUGGCGAGCGAACGCGGACCAGGCCAACGCUUUUGAUCUUCCAACUCGAACCGUCUGGAAAGUCGGGCCAUAGCGGGUGACAGCCCCGUAGGGAUUUCGAAGAUUGAGAGAUACGAGUAGGGCGGGACACGUGCAAUCCUGUCUGAACAUGGGGAGACCACUCUCCAAGCCUAAGUACUCCUCAGCGACCGAUAGUGAACAAGUACCGUGAGGGAAAGGUGAAAAGCACCCCGACGAGGGGAGUGAAACAGUCCCUGAAACCGGAUACCUACAAACAGUCGGAGCCCAAGGUUCGUCCUGGGUGACGGCGUACCUUUUGUAUAAUGGGUCAGCGACUUAAAGUAACGAGCAAGCUUAAGCCGGUAGGCGUAGGCGCAGCGAAAGCGAGUCUGAACAGGGCGUUCAGUUCGUUGCUUUAGACCCGAAACCGAGUGAUCUAGCCAUGAGCAGGUUGAAGGUGCAGUAACAUGCACUGGAGGACCGAACCGGUGUCUGUUGAAAUAGACUCGGAUGACUUGUGGUUAGGGGUGAAAGGCCAACCAAACUCGGAAAUAGCUGGUUCUCCGCGAAAGCUAUUUAGGUAGCGCCUCGCAUGUAUUCUCCAGGGGGUAGAGCACUGGAUGGGCUAGGGGGUCCCACAGACUUACCAAACCCAACCAAACUCCGAAUACCUGGAAGAACUGUGCGGGAGACACACGGUGGGUGCUAACGUCCAUCGUGGAGAGGGAAACAACCCAGACCAACAGCUAAGGCCCCCAAUUCGCAGCUAAGUGGGAAAGGAUGUAAGAAUCCCAAAACAACCAGGAGGUUGGCUUAGAAGCAGCCAUCCUUUAAAGAAAGCGUAACAGCUCACUGGUCUAAAUAAGGGUUCUCGCGCCGAAGAUGUAACGGGGCUCAAGCUGCGAGCCGAAGCUUUGGGUUCAUCCGCAAGGGUGAGCGGUAGCGGAGCGUUCCGUAAGCCUGUGAAGGAGUAGUCGUGAGACGCUCUGGAGGCAUCGGAAGUGCGAAUGCUGACAUGAGUAACGAGAAACACUGUGAAAGACAGUGUCGCCGAAAGUCCAAGGGUUCCUGCGUAAAGUUAAUCUUCGCAGGGUUAGCCGGUCCCUAAGGCGAGGCCGAAAGGCGUAGUCGAUGGGAAUCACGUUAAUAUUCGUGAGCCAGCGGAUGGUGACGCGUGGGGUAGAUUGUCUGGACUUACUGGAUUGUCCGGGCAGUGAACUCGCGCCAGGAAAUAGCCUCCGCAUCAGACCGUACCCGAAACCGACACAGGUGGACUGGUAGAGCAUACCAAGGCGCUUGAGAGAAUGACGUUGAAGGAACUCGGCAAUUUACCUCCGUAACUUCGGGAUAAGGAGGCCUUCUAUCUGCGCAAGCAGGUGGGAGGGGCACAGACCAGGGGGUGGCAACUGUUUAACAAAAACACAGGGCUCUGCGAAAUCGCAAGAUGACGUAUAGGGUCUGACGCCUGCCCGGUGCCGGAAGGUUAAGAGGAGAGGUUCACGCCUUGAAUUGAAGCCCCGGUAAACGGCGGCCGUAAAUAUAACGGUCCUAAGGUAGCGAAAUUCCUUGUCGGGUAAGUUCCGACCUGCACGAAUGGCGUAAUGACUUCCCCGCUGUCUCCAACGUCAGCUCAGUGAAAUUGAAUUCCCCGUGAAGAUGCGGGGUUCCUGCGGUCAGACGGAAAGACCCCGUGCACCUUUACUGUAACUUUGCAUUGGCAUUCGUGUCGGCAUGUGUAGGAUAGGUGGUAGGCUUUGAAGCCGGGGCGCCAGCUCUGGUGGAGCCACCCUUGAAAUACCACCCUUAUCGUCAUGGAUGUCUAACCGCGAUCCGUCAUCCGGGUCCGGGACAAUGCAUGGUAGGCAGUUUGACUGGGGCGGUCGCCUCCCAAAGAGUAACGGAGGCGCGCGAUGGUGGGCUCAGAGCGGUCGGAAAUCGCUCGUCGAGUGCAAUGGCAUAAGCCUGCCUGACUGCGAGACAGACAAGUCGAGCAGAGACGAAAGUCGGUCAUAGUGAUCCGGUGGUCCCGAGUGGGUGGGCCAUCGCUCAACGGAUAAAAGGUACGCCGGGGAUAACAGGCUGAUAACCCCCAAGAGUCCAUAUCGACGGGGUUGUUUGGCACCUCGAUGUCGGCUCAUCACAUCCUGGGGCUGGAGAAGGUCCCAAGGGUUCGGCUGUUCGCCGAUUAAAGUGGUACGUGAGCUGGGUUCAGAACGUCGUGAGACAGUUCGGUCCCUAUCUGCCGUGGGUGUCGGAGAAUUGAGAGGAUUUGUCCCUAGUACGAGAGGACCGGGAUGAACAUACCUCUGGUGGACCUGUUGUGGCGCCAGCCGCAGUGCAGGGUAGCUAUGUAUGGACGGGAUAACCGCUGAAUGCAUCUAAGCGGGAAACCCACCUCAAAACCAGUUCUCCCUCGAGAGCCGUGGAAGACGACCACGUUGAUAGGCCGGGUGUGGAAGCAGGGCGACCUGCGUAGCUUACCGGUACUAAUAGCUCGAUCGGCUUGAUCGCUCUCAUUU
rnacentral:rRNA from 1 species